rnacentral:lncRNA from 1 species
AAUGCCGCGGCCGCGUCCUGGCAGAGAAAAAGGCUGAAAUGGAGGACCGGCGCCUUCCUUAUAACUCGUUGGGGCCUGAGCCAGUACCGACCUGGUAAAAAAAGCAACCACGAAGCUAGAGAGAGAGCCAGAGGAGGGAAGAGAGCGCCAGACGAAGGUGAAAGCGAACCACGCAGAGAAAUGCAGGCAAGGGAGCAAGGCGGCAGUUCCCGGAACAAACGUGGCAGAGGGCAAGACGGGCACUCACAGACAGAGGUG